rnacentral:rRNA from 1 species
AAAGCAGGAGCAAUCUUGUGAGUAAAGUGGCGUACGGGUGAGUAACACGUGGAUCAUCUACCCUCUUGUGGGGGAUAACCCUGGGAAACCGGGGCUAAUACCGCAUAAGUCCGAGAGGAGAAAGCAGCAAUGCGCAGGAGGAGGAGUCCGCGGCCGAUUAGCUAGUUGGUAGGGUAAAAGCCUACCAAGGCUACGAUCGGUAGCCGGCCUGAGAGGGCACACGGCCACACUGGCACUGAAACACGGGCCAGACUCCUACGGGAGGCAGCAGUGGGGAAUCUUGCACAAUGGGGGCAACCCUGAUGCAGCGACGCCGCGUGAGCGAUGAAGCCCUUCGGGGUGUAAAGCUCUUUCGGCAGGGAAGAUUAUGACGGUACCUGCAGAAGCAGCUGCGGCUAACUACGUGCCAGCAGCCGCGGUAAUACGUAGGCAGCAAGCGUUGUUCGGAGUUACUGGGCGUAAAGGGUGUGUAGGCGGUUCUCUAAGUCUGGUGUGAAAUCUCCCGGCUCAACUGGGAGGGUGCGCCGAAAACUGGAGGGCUAGAGUGCGGGAUGGGAGAGUGGAAUUCCUGGUGUAGCGGUGAAAUGCGUAGAUAUCAGGAGGAACACCUGUGGUGUAGACGGCUCUCUGGACCGCAACUGACGCUGAAACACGAAAGCGUGGGUAGCAAACAGGAUUAGAUACCCUGGUAGUCCACGCCCUAAACGAUGCAUAUUUGGUGUGGGCCAUUCAUUUGGUCUGUGCCGGAGCUAACGCGUUAAAUAUGCCGCCUGGGGAGUACGGUCGCAAGGCUGAAACUC